rnacentral:rRNA from 1 species
GACGAACGCUGGCGGCGUGCCUAAUACAUGCAAGUAGAACGCACAGUUUAUACCGUAGCUUGCUACACCAUAGACUGUGAGUUGCGAACGGGUGAGUAACGCGUAGGUAACCUGCCUGGUAGCGGGGGAUAACUAUUGGAAACGAUAGCUAAUACCGCAUAAUAUUGAUUAUUGCAUGAUAAUUGAUUGAAAGAUGCUAUUGCAUCACUACCAGAUGGACCUGCGUUGUAUUAGCUAGUAGGUGAGGUAACGGCUCACCUAGGCGACGAUACAUAGCCGACCUGAGAGGGUGAUCGGCCACACUGGGACGGAGACACGGCCCAGACUCCUACGGGAGGCAGCAGUAGGGAAUCUUCGGCAAUGGACGAAAGUCUGACCGAGCAACGCCGCGUGAGUGAAGAAGGUUGUCGGAUCGUAAAGCUCUGUUGUAAGAGAAGAACGGGUGUGAGAGUGGAAAGUUCACACUGUGACGGUAUCUGACCAGAAAGGGACGGCUAACUACGUG